rnacentral:rRNA from 1 species
CCCUGCCCUUUGUACACACCGCCCGUCGCACCUACCGAUUGAAUGACUCGAUGAAACAUUGGGACCGUGAAUUGGCUUGCUUCAUUGCGAACCUUUUCGUGGGAACUUUUUUUAAUCUCGCCAUUUAG